AUAAACUCUUCCUUCUACGCACUUCUCGGCAUCAAAAUUCAGAUUGUAACUCAGCUCGAUCUCGAUUAUCUUUAUCGAAAACAUGGGUUUGAAGGAAGAAUUUGAGGAGUAUGCUGAGAAAGCUAAGACCUUGCCUGAGAGCACUUCAAAUGAAAACAGGCUCAUUCUAUAUGGACUCUACAAGCAAGCUACAGUUGGAAAUGUCAACACGAGUCGUCCCGGUAUGUUUAACAUGAGGGACAGGGCGAAGUGGGAUGCAUGGAAGGCCGUUGAAGGAAAAACUAAGGAGCAAGCAAUGAGUGAUUACAUCACCAAGGUGAAGCAGUUACUGGAAUAAGCUGCAGCUUCGUGCUGAUUACAAGCUUUCAUCGUCUAUGAGUUGCUCGUAUUAGACUACCCAUGAUCUAUCACAAUAAAAGAGUAGUAAAGGUGGGGAUGGGAAAGAACAUGUGAGAAUAAAUGAAGAUGGAAGAAGGAAGGCUGAACAACUAACAGGUUUUGCAGUUACUAAUUUUAUUGCUUUUAAUUAGUGGUAGUAGUUAAUCAAUAAAUGAUGUUAGGCCCCAUAUAAACCCUUGAGGUUUGGAGGGGACUAACAAUCGCCUUUUCAUCUCUAACACACUUUCUACCAUUCUUAUAUUCUUAGGCUUUAAUAUGAUUGCAUUUGAGAAAGGAUUGAAUGAGAAGGCUUUGCCUCUCAAUUGAAAAGGUUAAAAAUUCAUUUAGAGUUGAUAACGAUAAAUUCUAGUAAAAUAUUAAUGAUUGAAGUCAAUAUUGACUAUUAUUCAAGUGAAAUUCAUGAAUAAACUAAUCCUUAAUAUAAAUGGAUUUAAUUUUUAGAUUGGUUUCCACUUUUCAUAGUUGCUUAUUCUUUCUUAUGUAGAAAUUUUUUUAUUACGUAUAGGAUAUUCAAUUCGAUCCAUUGUCCUAUAAAUAAGAGAGUGGGGAUCGAAUUCUAGAGCAGUUCCUCAGCUCUUUGAAAUUCUACAAGCUAUGAUACGUUCUCUCAGUUCCAUUUCAUGUGAGACAUUUCUUUUAGACAGAGAUUUUUAAGAGAAAGAAAAAGUAAGAGAGAGGAUAAAGUAAGAGAGAUACAUAGUUAUUUUUUUUAAUAAAAAGGAGAAAUGUAAUGGGACGGAGGAGCUGAGCCGAUUCUUAAUUUAUUUAUUUAUAUAUUAUUUUUUAAUUAAAUAUUAAUAUUAGAAUUAGUUAUGCUCUGUUAUGUUAUUUUUUAAUUUAAUGGAGUACCACUUUAUUUGUCCACAAAAUUAGUUUUAAUUUUAUUUCAGUUUGUUUACCAAAAUUAAUUACAUUUAAGAUAACUUUGUGAUUG